rnacentral:siRNA from 1 species
UGCCUGCUAAGUACAUGGGCUCU